AGUGGGGAAUAUUUGGCACAAUGGGCGGCAAGCCUGAUGCAGCAACGCCGCGUGCGGGAUGACGGCCUUCGGGUUGUAAACCGCUUUCGCCUGUGACGAAGCGGUGAGUGUCGGUAAUGGGUAAAGAAGCACCGGCUAACUACGUGCCAGCAGCCGCGGUGAUACGUAGGGUGCGAGCGUUGUCCGGAUUUAUUGGGCGU
rnacentral:rRNA from 1 species